GAUGAACGCUAGCGGCAGGCUUAAUACAUGCAAGUCGAACGGGAUUCGAGGUAGCAAUACUUUGAUGAGAGUGGCGCACGGGUGCGUAACGCGUAUGCAACCUACCUUUAACAGGUGAAUAGCCCCGAGAAAUCGGGAUUAAUACACCGUAACAUUGCGCUGUGGCAUCACAGUGCAAUUAAAGAUUUAUCGGUUAAAGAUGGGCAUGCGUGACAUUAGCUAGUUGGUGAGGUAACGGCUCACCAAGGCAACGAUGUCUAGGGGUCCUGAGAGGGUUAUCCCCCACACUGGUACUGAGACACGGACCAGACUCCUACGGGAGGCAGCAGUAAGGAAUAUUGGUCAAUGGGCGCAAGCCUGAACCAGCCAUGCCGCGUGCAGGAAGACGGCCCUAUGGGUUGUAAACUGCUUUUGCAGGGAAUAAACCUGUCUACGUGUAGACAGCUGAAGGUACCUGAAGAAUAAGCAUCGGCUAACUCCGUGCCAGCAGCCG
rnacentral:rRNA from 1 species